rnacentral:rRNA from 1 species
GACGAACGCUGGCGGCGUGCCUAACACAUGCAAGUGGAGCGACGAACCAGGCUUCGGCCUGGGGCAAAGCCGCGAACGGGUGAGUAACACGUGGGUAACCUGCCCUGAUGAUUGGGACAACCCGAGGAAACUCGGGCUAAUACCAAAUGUGCCCUACGGCCACAAGGCUGUCGGGGAAAGGAAGCUUCGGCCUCCGCAUCGGGAUGGGCCCGCGGCCCAUUAGCUUGUUGGUGAGGUAACGGCUCACCAAGGCGACGAUGGGUAGCUGGUCUGAGAG